CUACGGGCGGCUCCAGUAAGGAAUAUUGGUCAAUGGGCGCAAGCCUGAACCAGCCAUGCCGCGUGCAGGAAGACGGCCCUAUGGGUUGUAAACUGCUUUUGUCAGGGAAUAAACCUGUCUACGUGUAGGCAGCUGAAGGUACCUGAAGAAUAAGCAUCGGCUAACUCCGUGCCAGCAGCCGCGGUAAUACGGAGGAUGCAAGCGUUAUCCGGAUUCAUUGGGUUUAAAGGGUGCGCAGGCGGAUUGGUAAGUCAGGGGUGAAAUCCCACAGCUCAACUGUGGAACUGCCUUUGAUACUGUCAGUCUAGAGUAUAGUUGAAGUGGGCGGAAUGUGUCAUGUAGCGGUGAAAUGCUUAGAUAUGACACAGAACACCGAUCGCGAAGGCAGCUCGCUAAGCUAUAACUGACGCUCAUGCACGAAAGCGUGGGGAUCAAACAGGAUUAGAUACCCUUGUAGUC
rnacentral:rRNA from 1 species